UCGAACGUGCUCGUCUACGCAUUUGAAACUGAGAUCGCGGAACGAAACCGACCGAGCCACACACUUUACAGUUUGCUGCCAGUGUCCUGAGUGUUAUCGACAAUACCGCACGUGCCAUUUGACUUCAUAUAUCAGUAUCUUCUGAAGGGUGUGUGGCCCCCUACUGUAUGUACCAAAGGGGAAAAAGACAACUUCCGCAAGGCAUGUAGACCCUUUGCUGUUAAGGGUGAAGAACUAUUCUACAAGAAGGUGAAAAAUGACGAGACUGGAGAGAAAGUGGAGCUGCUGUUACGUGUCCUCUUAACAAAGACUGAACAACAACGACCAAUUCGAUGUGCACACGAAGGCCUUGGUACCAGUAUUGAAAGUAAAAGUAUGAGUGGACAUCAGGGAAUAACGGCAAUGA